rnacentral:rRNA from 1 species
AACGUAGGACGCAAGCGUUAUCCGGAGUUACUGGGCGUAAAGCGCGGGCAGGCGGCUCGAUGCGUCUGAUGUGAAAUCUCCUCGCUCAACGGGGAGAGGCCAUUGGAAACGGUCAAGCUCGAGUCCGGAAGAGGCGAGUGGAAUUCCUGGUGUAGCGGUGAAAUGCGCAGAUAUCAGGAGGAACACCAAUGGCGAAGGCAGCUCGCUGGGACGUGACUGACGCUGAGACGCGAAAGCGUGGGGAGCGAACAGG